GAUAUACUCCCUCCGUUUGGAAUUAUUUGUCGGAGAAAUGGAUGUAUCUAGACGUAUUUUAGUUCUAGAUACAUCCAUUUCCGAGACAAGUAAUUCCGAACGGAGGGAGUAUAUG
rfam:Triticum aestivum genome assembly, contig: Triticum_aestivum_CS42_TGACv1_scaffold_485737_6AS